rnacentral:rRNA from 1 species
CUCGUAGGCGGCCAACUAAGUCAGACGUGAAAUCCCCAGGCUCAACCUGGGAACUGCGUCUGAUACUGGAUGGCUUGAAUUCGGGAGAGGGAUGCAGAAUUCCAGGCGUAGCGGUGAAAUGCGUAGAUAUCUGGAGGAAUACCGGUGGCGAAGGCGGCAUCCUGGACCGACAUUGACGCUGAUGAGCGAAAGCUAGGGGAGCAAACG